rnacentral:rRNA from 1 species
AGUAGGGCUACACACGUGCUACAAUGGCAGAUACAAAGUGAAGCGAACUCGCGAGAGCAAGCGGACCACAUAAAGUCUGUCGUAGUCCGGAUUGGAGUCUGCAACUCGACUCCAUGAAGUCGGAAUCGCUAGUAAUCGUAGAUCAGAAUGCUACGGUGAAUACGUUCCCGGGCCUUGUACACACCGCCCGUCACACCAUGGGAGUGGGUUGCAAAAGAAGUAGGUAGCUUAACCUUCGGGAGGGCGCUUACCACUUUGUGAUUCAUGACUGGGGUGAAGUCGUAACAAGGUAACCGUAGGGGAACCU